CUCACAUGGAGCUGUGCUGUUCAACCACAGACGGAACAGUCUCAUACAGCACUCAUAGCUCAGGCUAUCUGCGCCCUGUGAACAGAAGGUGAUAUGGAUGGAUGGACUAGAGAACUCCAGUAUCAGAGCCUUCAAAUAUGCACACUUCGUCAGUGCUAAAUUCACUUCACAGAGCCAUUUACACUGAGUGCAAGAACAAUACAAAUGUUUAUGCAUUGAGAAGAGACUUUCACUUGUCUUUCACAAAUACUCAGCUCCACUUCAGUGGAUUUAGUUGGAUUAAGGUUUGAAUUUUAAGGAGAAUGAAUAAGCGCGAAUUCAAGGGCUUUCCAUGGCUUCACAGGAGCAUGAAGUGGAGUGCAUGGCAUCUAGGGAGAUGUACUGAUCCAAGGCCAUAUGGUUUGCUAUAUCACCGACAAGUGAAUGGCAGAGUUUCUUCUGGAGGAACAGAACCAAUACUUCACAGAAAACAGAGACAUUAUGAUUUCUUAAUAAUGGAGUCAUUCAUGACAAUGACACUGCCUCCGGUACAAAAGUCCCUGGCUGUGGAUAAGGAUGAAUCAACCUUUGACCCCGGUGGCUAACACAGGAGCCUCAUCGCCUGUAUUUUGAGGAAAAAAAAAAGUCACUGUGAUGUUGUACCAACAAUAAUAAAAUAAAGAACAAGUCCA
rnacentral:lncRNA from 1 species